GAUGAACGCUAGCGGCGUGCCUAACACAUGCAAGUCGAGCGAUUUACUUCGGUAAAGAGCGGCGGACGGGUGAGUAACGCGUGGGUAACCUGCCCUGUACACACGGAUAACAUACCGAAAGGUAUGCUAAUACGGGAUAAUAUGCUUUAGUCGCAUGGCUGAAGUAUCAAAGCUCCGGCGGUACAGGAUGGACCCGCGUCUGAUUAGCUAGUUGGUAAGGUAACGGCUUACCAAGGCGACGAUCAGUAGCCGACCUGAGAGGGUGAUCGGCCACAUUGGAACUGAGACACGGUCCAAACUCCUACGGGAGGCAGCAGUGGGGAAUAUUGCACAAUGGGCGAAAGCCUGAUGCAGCAACGCCGCGUGAGCGAUGAAGGCCUUCGGGUCGUAAAGCUCUGUCCCCAAGGAAGAUAAUGACGGUACUUGAGGAGGAAGCCCCGGCUAACUACGUGUCAGCCGCCGCUGUAA
rnacentral:rRNA from 1 species